CAGCAGUCGCCGCGGUAAUUCGUAGGUGGCGAGCGUUGUCCGGAAUUAUUGGGCGUAAAGGGAGCGCAGGCGGACAUAUAAGUCCAUCUUAAAAGUGCGGGGCUCAACCCCGUGAGGGGAUGGAAACUGUAUGCCUUGAGUGCAGGAGAGGGAAGCGGAAUUCCCAGUGUAGCGGUGAAAUGCGUAGAUAUUGGGAGGAACACCAGUGGCGAAGGCGGCUUUCUGGACUGUAACUGACGCUGAGGCUCGAAAGCCAGGGGAGCGAACGGGAUUAGAUACCCCCGUAGUCCCUGUCUCUUAUACA
rnacentral:rRNA from 1 species